CGACUAAAUCUUCACAGACAACAUCAGUGUAGAUCCAGAGUCAAUAGACAUCACAUCAACAUAAUCCAUUAUUAUUUGUUCUACUCUUCGAGUUCACCCGAAUUCUCUUUUAAUCAUCAUCAUGUACAAGUUAUUGUUAUUGAUUGUCGCCGUCUUCGCUUUGGUCGCCGCCAUUUCUGCUCAAAGCAUUUACACCUACCCAAUUACUUAUGCACCGUAUUACUCGUACCCAUCAUACGGCUACACUUAUCCAGUGACAUACAAUCCAUACAUCACUCUCCUUCGUCGGUAGAGAGACAUCAUUCAGAUCCAAACACGUCAUACUAUGAAGAAACUACUGGGAAUAAUCAGCUAUUGUCCAGUGUCAUUUCACGAAGAUACAAUAUAAAUUAUGAUAAAAUGUAAUUACUCAAUACAUAUUUUUAUUUAUAUCAUUAACAAUUAAUUUUUUUCAUUAAGUUAUUUCUGCUGUGUAAAACAUUUACCUAUUUAUUCAUAAUAAAAUACAAUAUUAUGUAACA